AUUAGAAGUUUAAAUUAUGGGCCCAAAGUCCAGCAUAUUAUUGCACGCAAAUUUAUUUCAAAUUGAACGACUUAUUUAGACUAAUUAGAGUCUAUAGGUUGGUCUAGACCUCAUACAAACUUGAUGAGAGAUCUUAAUUAGCAGUACUAAUACAGAAAAGAAAGGCAUUUGAAUACACUUUAAUGUAUUUAAACUUAAGCAUAUUUUCUAAAUUUUAACAGAAGGGCAUGUUAAUCUAUGAGAAGAGGCUAAAAACUACACGUAGGAAGGUCACACAUAAUACCUUACCUCUUUGUAAGAUGUCUAACACCA